rnacentral:rRNA from 1 species
UAUAGGNGACAAGGAGCCGAUAUCAGGCACAUAAAACUAGCCCAUAACAUCUUGNUAAGCCACACCCCCAAGGGAAGUCAGCAGUGAUAAACAUUAAGCCAUAAGUGAAAACUUGACUUAAUUAAAGCUAAAUAGGGCCGGUAAAACUCGUGCCAGCCACCGCGGUUAUACGAGAGACCCAAGUUGAUAAAACACGGCGUAAAGCGUGGUUAAGAACAACUAAAAAUAAAGUCAAAUAUCUCCAAGGCUGUUAUACGCACCCGAAGAUUAGAAGUCCAACCACGAAAGUGACUUUAUAUUCCUGAAUCCACGAAAGCCAUGACACAAACU